GGUAGUAUGGCAUAGUGGUAAUGCCCUCUUUUGAGACUGUUACAGCUCGCAAGAGCUCUUGGUUCGAAUCCAAGACUACCC